UGAACGCUGGCGGCGUGCUUAACACAUGCAAGUCGAACGGAACAUUCGCCCGAUGAUUGAAGUAGCUUGCUAUGAAUGAUCAACUGAAAUGUUAGUGGCGGACGGGUGAGUAACGCGUGGGUAACCUACCUUACACAGGGGGAUAACAGUUAGAAAUGACUGCUAAUACCGCAUAAGCGCACAGUAUCGCAUGAUACAGUGUGAAAAACUCCGGUGGUGUAAGAUGGACCCGCGUCUGAUUAGCUAGUUGGUGAGGUAACGGCCCACCAAGGCGACGAUCAGUAGCCGGCCUGAGAGGGUGAACGGCCACAUUGGAACUGAGACACGGUCCAAACUCCUACGGGAGGCAGCAGUGGGGAAUAUUGCACAAUGGGGGAAACCCUGAUGCAGCGACGCCCGCGUGAGUGAUGAAGUAUUUCGGUAUGUAAAGCUCUAUCAGCAGGGAAGAUCAUGACGGUACCUGACUAAGAAGCUCCGGCUAAAUACGUGCCAGCCGCUGC
rnacentral:rRNA from 1 species